UACGUAGGGUGCAAGCGUUAAUCGGAAUUACUGGGCGUAAAGCGUGCGCAGGCGGUUCGUUGUGUCUGUGGUGAAAGCCCCGGGCUUAACCUGGGAAUGGCCAUGGAAACUGGCGAGCUGGAGUGUGGCAGAGGGGGGUGGAAUUCCGCGUGUAGCAGUGAAAUGCGUAGAGAUGCGGAGGAACACCGAUGGCGAAGGCAGCCCCCUGGGUCAACACUGACGCUCAGGCACGAAAGCGUGGGGAGCAAACAGG
rnacentral:rRNA from 1 species